ACACCCUCAAGUUGAUGUAGUUGCUUUACACUGACAAUACAGAAGGGUAAUACAAGUCUCCAUAAAAUCUAGAGAGAUGAUAGCAAAACUCCAUUUUAAAUUCUGUCUGGAGAUGGUCUA